UACGGGGGGGGCAAGCGUUGUUCGGAAUUACUGGGCGUAAAGGGCUCGUAGGUGGCCAACUAAGUCAGACGUGAAAUCCCUCAGCUUAACUGGGGAACUGCGUCUGAUACUGGAUGGCUUGAGUUUGGGAGAGGGAUGCGGAAUUCCAGGUGUAGCGGUGAAAUGCGUAGAUAUCAGGAGGAACACCAAUAGCGAAGGCAGCUCGCUGGGACGUUACUGACGCUGAGGCGCGAAAGCGUGGGGAGCAAACAGG
rnacentral:rRNA from 1 species